rnacentral:rRNA from 1 species
AUCUUCGGAUCCCGAGUAGAGUGGCGCACGGGUGAGUAACACGUGGAUAACCUGCCCUGUGAUCUGGAAUAACCUUCCGAAAGGGGGGCUAAUACCGGAUAAGCCCACGGAGACCUCGGUCUUAGUGGGAAAAGAUUUAUCGUCACAGGAUGGGUCCGCGGUCCAUUAGCUAGUUGGUGGGGUAAUGGCCCACCAAGGCCACGAUGGAUAGCUGGUCUGAGAGGAUGAUCAGCCACACUGGAACUGAGACACGGUCCAGACUCCUACGGGAGGCAGCAGUGGGGAAUUUUGCGCAAUGGGGGAAACCCUGACGCAGCAACGCCGCGUGAAGGAUGAAGGCCUUUGGGUCGUAAACUUCUGUCAGAGGGGAAGAAAUGCCCGCAAGGGAGCUGACGGUACCCUCAAAGGAAGCACCGGCUAACUCCGUGCCAGCAGCCGCGGUAAUACGGAGGGUGCAAGCGUUGUUCGGAAUUAUUGGGCGUAAAGCGCAUGUAGGCGGUCUGUUAAGUCUGGUGUGAAAGCCCGGGGCUCAACCCCGGAAGUGCAUUGGAUACUGGCAGACUUGAGUAUGGGAGAGGAAAGUGGAAUUCCGAGUGUAGGAGUGAAAUCCGUAGAUAUUCGGAGGAACACCAGUGGCGAAGGCGGCUUUCUGGACCAAUACUGACGCUGAGAUGCGAAAG